AUGAACGAUGGUCACCGCCAUGCCCUUUGGCUUUGGCGCCGGUACCGAGGGGACGGCGGUGGCUGUAUCAUCACUUCCUUGUCCAGCUACUAUGUCUUGGCAGAUUGCCUCCUCCUUGGCCACUACCUCAGCUUUGUCGGCAGCACAAUGACACUGGUUCGGUGGCGAUGGUUGCCUUUUCCUUGGUUCUGGUGCACAAGAAACCGUGUGUUGUGUGCGUCCAACAUCACCAGCGAGUGUGUUGGCAUGCGCAAGCCCUCACUCGACACCUCCCUCCCGCCCCUCCGGUGUAUGCUUCUUCAACUCUGGCAUAGUAUGACUGGAAUGGUAGAAAACUUGUUUCCAGGGCAUGGCUCACCUCUUGGGUCCAGGCCUUUUUUCUCUAUUGGCUUAUGCAUUGCAUGGGUGUGCUGUAUUGCAAAGGAGCUGGCCGUGCAGGGGCAUGGGAUCCCGGUGACAGUGGCCAACACCACCUACAUGGGCAUGGAGGCGCUCCAUGCCGUCGGUGGCCUUGGCAAGCUGCCCGUGUACCAGUAUCUCAUGGAGGUCUAUAUUGGCGUUGCCAUGCCUGACAUCACUCAAGUAUUCCGGCAACCAGAAUCUUGUGUUUGUGAUGAUCUUGAAGUUCAAAUUUGUCCCUGUGCUGGAUUUUAUAAGGACAUAUUAGGUACUAUACAUGGGUUUGAUGUUCCGCUGGCAUUUACCCAGUGCAGUGCUUUGCAUGUUGAUGCCAAGCUAGCAUGUAUGUGCACAGGAGACCACGAGUUGUGUGCGCCCAACAUCACCAGCGAGUCCGAUGGCAUGCGCAAGCCCUCACUCCGGCGCGUUACUCCCGCCCCUUUGGCGUUCUUCGACUACGGCAUAGGAGGAGAGGACUACUCAUCAAAGCACGCAAGUUGGUUUGAAAGUGUCUAA
rnacentral:rRNA from 1 species